rnacentral:rRNA from 1 species
AUUCCCCUAGUAACUGCGAGUGAAGCGGGAAAAGCUCAAAUUUGAAAUCUGGCAGUCUUCGGCUGUCCGAGUUGUAAUCUAGAGAAGUGUUACCCGCGCUGGACCAUGUACAAGUCUCCUGGAAUGGAGCGUCAUAGAGGGUGAGAAUCCCGUCUCUGACAUGGACUACCAGGGCUUUGUGGUAUGCUCUCAAAGAGUCGAGUUGUUUGGGAAUGCAGCUCAAAAUGGGUGGUAAAUUCCAUCUAAAGCUAAAUAUUGGCGAGAGACCGAUAGCGAACAAGUACCGUGAGGGAAAGAUGAAAAGAACUUUGGAAAGAGAGUUAAACAGUACGUGAAAUUGCUGAAAGGGAAACGCUUGAAGUCAGUCUCAUUGGCCAGGGAUCAGCCUUGCUCUUGCACGGUGUACUUUCUGGUUGAUGGGUCAGCAUCAAUUUUGACUGCUGGAAAAAGGCUUGGGGAAUGUGACAGCUCUGGCUGUGUUAUAGACCCUUGUCAUAUACAGCAGUUGGGAUUGAGGAACUCAGCAUGCCGCAAGGCCGGGUUUCGACCACGUUCAUGCUUAGGAUGCUGGCAUAAUGGCUUUAAGCGACCCGUCUUGAAACACGGACCAAGGAGUCUAACAUGCCUGCGAGUGUUUGGGUGGAAAACCCGAGCGCGUAAUGAAAGUGAAAGUUGAGAUCCCUGUCGUGGGGAGCAUCGACGCCCGGACCAGAACUUUUGGGACGGAUCUGCGGUAGAGCAUGUAUGUUGGGACCCGAAAGAUGGUGAACUAUGCCUGAAUAGGGUGAAGCCAGAGGAAACUCUGGUGGAGGCUCGUAGCGAUUCUGACGUGCAAAUCGAUCGUCAAAUUUGGGGUAUAGGGGCGAAAGACUAAUCGAACC